ACUGCCUCUAGAUGCAUUGCAGGUAUGGCUGCUUUGUUAAGUGUGUGUCAGUUAAGUGGCAGAGAGGAGACAGGCUGUCUGUACACUCAGUGUUCUGACCUGUGAACAUCUGAAUUAUUAGUAGCCCUACACU